UACGUAGGGGGCAAGCGUUGUCCGGAUUUAUUGGGCGUAAAGAGCGUGUAGGCGGCCGCACAGGUCCGUUGUGAAAACUGGAGGCUCAACCUUCAGACGUCGAUGGAAACCGUGCGGCUAGAGUCCGGAAGAGGAGAGUGGAAUUCCUGGUGUAGCGGUGAAAUGCGCAGAUAUCAGGAAGAACACCCGUGGCGAAGGCGGCUCUCUGGGACGGUACUGACGCUGAGACGCGAAAGCGUGGGUAGCGAACAGG
rnacentral:rRNA from 1 species